GCCAGACUCCUACGGGAGGCAGCAGUGGGGGAUAUUGCACAAUGGGGGGAACCCUGAUGCAGCGACGCCGCGUGGGCGACGAAGCGCUCCGGCGCGUAAAGCCCUGUCAGCAGGGAAGAACAAAGACAGUACCUGGCCAAGAAGCCCCGGCUAACUACGUGCCAGCAGCCGCGGUAAUACGUAGGGGGCAAGCGUUAUCCGGAUUCACUGGGCGUAAAGGGAGCGCAGGCGGCACGGCAAGUCUGGUGUGAAAGCCCGGGGCCCAACCCCGGGACUGCAUUGGAAACUGCCGGGCUGGAGUGCCGGAGGGGCAAGCGGAAUUCCUGGUGUAGCGGUGAAAUGCGCAGAUAUCAGGAAGAACACCGGUGGCGCAGGCGGCUUGCUGGACGGCAACUGACGCUGAGGCUCGAAAGCGUGGGGAGCAAACAGGAUUAGAUACCCCUGUA
rnacentral:rRNA from 1 species